UUUUUUAAAAAAUUCUUUCUUACCUCUUUCUUAAAUUUUUUUCUCUUCUCAGAACAAGAUUUAUAAUUUUUUUUUAAGUCUACUCUAUUUUUUUAUUUUUUAUUAUAAAAAUUAAAAAUAUAUAAAUAAAUUUUAAAUAGUUUAAAUUGUUUGUAUUAAAUAUAAAUUUUAAUUUUAUAAUAUUAAGUAUUUAAAUAUAGAUUUACAUUAAAAAAUAAAAAAAGAAAGAUUGAUGAAAUUUAAGUUAAUUUUAUCAUCGACUGACUCAAAUUUAAUAUAUCGAAAAGUGAUGCACUCAGAUUUUUGAAGUCAAAAUAUCAUCAACUGACUGUAAUUUAAUAUAUCGAAAAAUUGGAUAAUCAAAAUAAAAUUUUGAAAGAUUAGAUUUUAAAAAAAUUAUAGAAUUCGAUCAGGAACGUGGUAACUUAUUUUUUCUAAAAUAUUUAAAAGUAAAUAUUUAAAUUUAAGAUUGAGUGGGUUUAAGGUUUAUCCCUAAAUUUUUCUAUAAUAUGUUUUAACAUUUUUAUCCCACUUAUAUUAUUCUGUUAUGGUUUUGGAGGGACAUAUUUGUGAUGGUAAAAGUGAAAACAUAAACAGUUGAAAAUAUUAUAUUGUUAUCAUUUAUCCCUAAAUCUGUAGAGAUAUUAUUCUUAUAUUUUUAUUAUAGCAAUAGUUGCUUAUUUUUCAGUUACUCUUUUUUUAUAUAAUUCCUUGACUCUUUUUUUUAUUUUUUUUAUUAUAUUUAUAUAUUUAUUUCUACGGAAUCAUCCCGCCGCAACACGCUGGUCCUUCAUUGGUGCUAAUAAUAAUUGUUAGGAUUUUCAUAAAUGUAACCCAAUUAAUUAUAUUUAAAUCUUGAUUUAUUAUAAAUAAAAGUCAAUACUACUAGAUAUAGAACUAUUUAAUAUAGUAUAUCUUAUUACCUUUUUAUCUAUUUAAAUUAAAUAAAAUUUUAAUGAGCCUUUGACAUUUUGAUCCUCUCACCUUCUCAUGUAUAAUAUGGUGAAGAAUUACCAAAGGUUCCACACAAGAGUGUCUGAAAAAAGAGGAGAAAUCCUCUCAUGUGCAAUUUGUCGAAGAAUUACCAUCGGUUUUCACACGAUAGUACCUGAAAAAGGAGAAAAAAUCUUGACAUUUUUUAGAAAGGAGGAGAAACCAAAUUAUCCAAAUUUCGGUUCCAUACGAGAGUGCCUAAGAAAAGAGGAACAAAGUUACCAAAGUUCGGUAGGUGACAUUUAGAUUAUAGUAGGACUUCCGCAGAUUUAUUAAGAAUUUCUUCUCUAUGACGUUAUAUGAGUUAUUAUAAUUUUAUUUAUGAUCUUAGAUUUGGUAUAUAUUUAUUUUUAAUAUUAGUUUUCAUACCGAUAAAAAUCUAUCAAUUGGUAUCAGAGCCAAAAACGAUAAAUUAUAUUUGGAUGCUUUAUCUAAUUGGAUUGAAUUAUGAUAAUUAUUUUUCAUAAAAAAAGUAAAAGAUAUCUUUUGGGAACACUGCACACGUUAUACGCUUUGGUAAUGGUGGCGUGAUUCAGCACGCGUUAGGAUGCGGUAGUGUUGUUUUGUUGUGGAUCAUGUAUUAGGGCAUCCAUGCGUGUGUCAGGUGCGCAUGGGAUUCAUGCAGGUUAAAGUUUGAAAGCUAAUUAAUUAGUAGGGUAAACUUUAAAUACCACCCUAUGAUUUUGAACUUUUUUAUUUUAGUACUAUAUAAUUUAAAGUGUAUCAAUUUAGUACUUUAUGGUUUUAUUUUUUUUUUCCUUUUCAUUGGCUCCUCCAUUAACAUUUCGUCAAAAAACUUUAAAUAUCUCACAUAUGUUUAUCGAAUAUUUACUUUAAUACUUUUUAGCUUUAACUUUAUCACUGACUUAACGAAAAAAAAAAUAGUGAAGGGAAUAAUAAAAAGAGAAAAAUAAAACCAAGGAGUACUAAAUAAAUAUAUACUUUAAACCAUAUGGUACUAAAAUAAAAAAGUGCGAAAUCACAUGAUUGGUAUUUAAAAUUUUUCUUAUAUUGUGUUU
rnacentral:lncRNA from 1 species